rnacentral:rRNA from 1 species
AGUUUGAUCCUGGCUCAGGAUGAACUCUGGCGGCGUGCUUAACACAUGCAAGUCAAACCAAGCUGCUUCACUGAUCUUCUUCGGAGUUGAUGUUUUGUAUACUGAGUGGCAGACGGGUGAGUAACUCGUGGGUAACCUGCCCUGUGCAGGGGGAUAACACUUAGGAAUGACUGCUAAUACCGCAUAAGACCACAGCGCCGCAUGGUGCAUGGGUAAAAACUCCUGGUGGUACAGGAUGGACCCGCGUCUGAUUAGCUAGUUGGUGAGGUAACGGCUCACCAAGCCGACGAUCAGUAGCCGGCUUGAGAGAGUGAACGGCCACAUUGGGACUGAGACACGGCCCAAACUCCUACGGGAGGCAGCAGUGGGGAAUAUUGCACAAUGGGGGAAACCCUGAUGCAGCGACGCCGCGUGAGUGAAGAAGUAUCUCGGUAUGUAAACCUCUAUCAGCAGGGAAGAAAAUGACGGUACCUGACUAAGAAGCCCCGCCUAAUUACGUGCCAGCAGCCGCGGUAAUACGUAGGGGGCAAGCGUUAUCCGGAAUUACUGGGUGUAAAGGGUGCGUAGGUGGUAUGGCAAGUCAGAAGUGAUAACCCAGGGGUUUCCUCCGGGACUGCUUUUGAAACUGUCAGACUGGAGUGCAGGAGAGGUAAGAGGAAUUCUUACUGUAGCGGUGAAAUAUGUAGAUAUUUGGAGGAACAUCAGUGGGGAAGGGGGCUUUCUGGACUGAAACUGACACUGAGGCACGAAAGAGUGGGGAGCAAACAGGAUUAGAUACCCUGGUAGUCCACGCCGUAAACGAUGACUGCUAGGUGUCGGGAGGCAAAGCCAUUCGGUGCCGCAGCUAACGCAAUAAGCAGUCCACAUGGGGAGUACGUUCGCAAGAAUGAAACUCAAAGGAAUUGACGGGGACCCGCACAAGCGGUGGAGCAUGUGGUUUAAUUCGAAGCAACGUGAAGAACCUUACCUGAUCUUGACAUCCCGAUGACCGCUUCGUAAUGGAAGCUUUUCUUCGGAACAUCGGUGACAGGUGGUGCAAUGGUUGUCGUCAGCUCUGUGUCGUGAGAUGUUGGGUUAAUGUCCCGCAACGAGCGCAACCCCUAUCUUCAGUACCCAGCAGGUUAAGUUGGCCACUCUGGAGAGACUCCCACGGAUAACCUGGAGGAAGGUGGGGACGUCGUCAAAUUAUCAUGCCCUUUAUGACCAGGCGCUACACACGUGCUACAAUGGCGUAAACAAAGAGAAGCGAACUCGCGAGGGUAAGCAAAUCUCAAAAAUAACGUCUCAGUUCGGAUUGUAGUCUGCAACUCGACUACACGAAGCGGGAAUCUCUAGUAAUCGCAGAUCAGAAUGGUGCGGUGAACAAGUUCCCGGCUCUAGCACUCACCGCCCGUCA